UACGGGGGGGAGCAAGCGUUUGUUCGGAUUUACUGGGCGUAAAGGGCGCGUAGGCGGUCGUGACAAGUCACUUGUGAAAUCUCCGGGCUUAACUCGGAACGGUCAAGUGAUACUGUCGGACUAGAGUACAGAAGGGGGCAACUGGAAUUCUCGGUGUAGCGGUGAAAAUGCGUAGAUAUCGAGAGGAACACCUGCGGCGAAGGCGGGUUGCUGGGCUGAUACUGACGCUGAGGAGCGAAAGCGUGGGGAGCGAACAGG
rnacentral:rRNA from 1 species